rnacentral:lncRNA from 1 species
UUGUGUCCCCCUUUUUCGCAGGUUUGGUGACCGUGGAGUGCGCGCGAUGGGCGCGGAGCGACAAACACGGUGUGCGGGCGCUGUUGCGGCGUGCGUGUGGGAGCUGCUGCGCCUAGGCUUCUUGCUGGUGUUUUGGGCCAUUUUCUGUUGGACUAGGGUUGAAAUUGGCUAUUGAGUUUUAAUUUUAUUGGGCCUGCUAUUGUAUUUUAUUAUUGAUUGGGCAGGGCAAAUAAUUGGUAUUACAG